rnacentral:rRNA from 1 species
AUUGAACGCUGGCGGCAUGCUUUACACAUGCAAGUCGAACGGCAGCACGGGGGCAACCCUGGUGGCGAGUGGCGAACGGGUGAGAAAUGUAUCGGAACGUAUCCGGAAAUGGGGGAUAACGCAGCGAAAGUUGCGCUAAUACCGCAUACGCCCGGAGGGGGAAAGGUGGGGAUCGCAAGACCCCUCGGUUUCGGAGCGGCCGAUAUCAGAUUAGCUAGUUGGUGGGGUAAAGGCCCACCAAGGCGACGAUCUGUAGCUGGGCUGAGAGGACGACCAGCCACGCUGGGAGUGGGCCACGGCCCAGACUCCUACGUGGGGCAGCAGUGGGGAAUAUUGGACAAUGGGGGCAACCCUGAUCCAGCCAUGCCGCGUGAGUGAAGAAGGCCUUCGGGUUGUAAAGCUCUUUCGGACAGAAAGAAAUCGCCAUCUCUAAUACGGGUGGUGGAUGACGGUACUGUAAGAAGAAGCACCGGCUAACUACGUGCCAGCCGCCGCCGUAA